AUACGGAGGGUGCAAGCGUUAAUCGGAAUUACUGGGCGUAAAGCGUACGUAGGCGGUUCGUUAAGAUAGAUGUGAAAGCCCCGGGCUUAACCUGGGAACUGCAUUUAAAACUGGCGAACUAGAGUUGAGUAGAGGGGAGUGGAAUUUCAGGUGUAGCGGUGAAAUGCGUAGAGAUCUGAAGGAACACCAGUGGCGAAGGCGGCUCCCUGGACUCAAACUGACGCUGAGGUACGAAAGCGUGGGUAGCAAACGGGAUUAGAUACCCUAGUAGUCC
rnacentral:rRNA from 1 species